GGGGUUAAAGCUAACAGGCUGAAGGUUGAGACUUGAGUCAAGGUGUUGUAAGUAAAUACAGGUGUCAUUUCCCUCUCCCAAACCAACAGGAAAUGAUUGUUUGUUAAUUGGUUUGGGUGCAGUUAAGAGAGGAAUGCUUUGCAGGUCUCUCAAAGGGCGUAUAUGGCAACUACGUUUUAAUCUCUGUAGAAAUUCCAGUGACUGCAUGUGUCACUAACUUAUCAGUUCCAGCGAAAUAGGUCAACCAGGAACCAAAUCCACUCUUGUCAGCCAGCGAGCCAGCUCACACGGGUUCAUUUCCACAGAGCAGCACAAGAAUGAAGUGAGAGUAGGCAAGUUUUUCUUUUGAACCGAGGGCAGACAUGGCUUUGGUGAGUUUGGUGGAUUGCAGCCCUUGAAUGAGGGGGACCCUCUCGGUGAAGACCGGGCGACCGAUCAGAGUCACGAAGGCGAGGCAAAGCCAUGGACCGCAAAGACCAUUUGAAAAUGACCGUGAACCAUUUUCCCAACAGGAGACAUUCUUGGAUUUGCUUUGAUGUUGAAAAUGGCCUCUCUGCAGGACGCAGUCCACUGGAUCUUCAAACAAGUCCCGGUUCCGGACUCAUUUUACAGGCGAAUUUCACCCACAGUCAGCGGCGGGAAUCAUUCCUGUACCGCUCCGACAGCGAUUAUGACAUCUCGCCCAAGAACAUGUCCCGAAACUCCUCCAUCGCAAGUGACAUGAGUAGCUAUUUCAAGGCUCACCCAAGGCCAGCUUUGGCAGCGCGACAAUCUGAGCCAGUCCUAGCCUUGACAUUUGGAAACCAUGCAGAAGACAUGAUUGUGACCCCAUUUGCUCAAGUGCUGGCAAGUUUACGGACUGUAAGGAACAACUUUGCGGCGUUGACAAAUUUACAAGAGAAGACGCCGAACAGAAGAUCGUCAGGAUGCAACCAAAGCUCAAACUGCUGGGCAAACGUGUCAGAGGAGAACUAUCAGAAACUGGCCAUCGAGACGCUGGAGGAACUUGACUGGUGUUUAGACCAGCUGGAGACCUUGCAAACCAGGCAUUCUGUCAGUGAGAUGGCCUCCACUAAGUUCAAAAGGAUGCUGAAUCGAGAAUUAACACAAUUAUCAGAAACAAGUCGUUCAGGAAACCAGGUUUCAGAGUUCAUAUCAAGCACUUUUUUAGACAAACAGCAUGAAGUAGAAAUGCCAUCUAUGCAAUCAAAAGAGGAGAAGUGGCCGUUAUCGCAGAUCGUUGUGAAAAAAAUGCCUCUCAGCUUGACCCUGACCAAUUCCAAAAUCCCACGCUUCGGUGUAAGAACCACCAAGGAAGCCCAACUGGCCAAAGAAUUGGAAAAUAUCAACAGUUGGGGGCUGGAUAUCUUCAAAGUGGGUGAAUAUUCUGAAGGCAGGCCCCUAACAGCCACGAUGUUUGCAAUUUUUCAGGAGCGAGACUUGUUGAAGACCUUUAAUAUUCCUUUGGAAACAUUCUUCACUUAUCUGACCACCCUUGAAGACCACUAUCAUGCCGAAGUGUCCUACCACAAUAAUCACCAUGGUGCAGAUGUGGCACAAUCCACACAUGUCCUGCUCUUGACACCAGCACUCCAGGCUGUGUUUACAGACCUCGAAGUUAUGGCUGCCAUCUUUGCCUCUGCGAUUCAUGAUGUGGAUCAUCCUGGAGUCUCCAAUCAGUUCCUCAUUAACACCAACUCAGAAUUAGCACUGAUGUACAACGACACAUCCGUGUUAGAGAACCAUCACCUGGCUGUGGGCUUCAAAUUGCUGCAGGACGAAAACUGUGACAUCUUCCAGAACUUGACCAAGAAACAGCGACAGUCCCUCCGCAAAAUGACCAUCGACAUGGUUCUAGCGACAGACAUGACCAAGCACAUGAGUUUAUUAGCAGACUUAAAGACUAUGGUGGAAACAAAAAAAGUUACAAGUCUGGGUGUUUUACUGCUGGACAAUUACUCUGACAGGAUACAGGUUCUCCAGAAUAUGGUUCACUGUGCAGACCUCAGCAAUCCCACAAAACCCCUGGAGCUGUACCGGAAGUGGGUGGAUAAGAUCAUGGUGGAGUUCUUCUAUCAAGGAGAUCAGGAGCAGGAGCGAGGAAUGGAUAUCAGCCCAAUGUGCGACAAGCACAGUGCCUCGGUUGAGAAGACCCAGGUUUCAUUUAUCGAUUACAUUGUGCACCCUCUAUGGGAAACCUGGGCAGACCUGGUACACCCAGAUGCUCAAAACCUUUUGGACGCACUUGAAGAUAACCGGGAGUGGUUCCAAAGUAUGAUUCCUCACAGCCCGUCCUCACCGGCUCCCAGAGAGGACAGGGCAAAGGAUGCCGACAAGGAUAGCCCCAGCACGGGUGAUAAAUUCCAAUUUGACCUCACGCUGGAUGAGGACAAGGGACUGGAGCUCAAGGAAAACAAGUUAACAGUGGAAGUGGAUGAAGAUGCCAGUAGCAGCGAUAAUAGACCCACGGAUGCUGAAUCCCAAAUGUCGGUAAUGCAGGGGACAAUUGACACCCAAGUAAAGGGUGCCCCCAAGAGCAUACAUGAGAAAUUCUUAAAGAAAUCUCGCCUGCAGAAGAAGAAAAUCUCAGGUUCAAGUCCCAAGUCUCCGACCCCAAAGAUUGUGGACCUUGAGAAUAAUCUGGGGGAACUGAAAGAAGAAAUCACGGAGGUCGUGCAGUCGAAAUCCACCGCGGGAAAUGCACCGUCAAAUAUUUCAGGAACUGCAGUACGAAGUUCUGUUGACAAAGAGGGGAAUGUGGCAUUUCACCCCCUGGGAAGGAGUAGCCAUGAGACGUUUAAGUGAAAUAAGAAGAACCAUCAUCUACAAACACGUCUCGUUUAGCUUUUCUACAUUUUUUUUUUUGCUUGAGAAGCAAAAUCUCAUCAGUUCUAUGAGACACCUCCAUAGGAGCACGGAAGGUUCACUUUUUAUGAAUUUUUUGUAUAAUUUUUCAAACAGUGACAUUUCCUGACACUGGACUGUAGAAAACGAGCAGCCCUGGUCCCAACGAUCGAUCUAGUGAUUGGUAUGUCAGCUCCAUCAUAGGCCAGAUGAGAAUUCCUAGAUUUCCUUCUGAAUUGAACAAUGAACCCCUAUGUUGGGGUAUAAUGCUCCUGUCUAUGUUAUAUAUUUAUGUACUCUGUGUUAUUGGGGUGUAAAGCUCCCUGUAUAUUUUAUAUAACAUGCUGUGUGUUAUUCGGGUAUAAUAGGCCUGUCCACGUUUUAUAACACUCUGCAUUACAAGGGUAUAUAUAUUAGAGGUGUCCAACAUUCUGUAUGUAUAAUAGAACACACCAUGUGUUACUAGGUAUAACACUCCUGUACAUAUUAUAUAAUAACACACCAUGUGUUACUGAGUAUCACAUUCCUGUCUAUGUAUAUAUUAUACAACACACUGUGUUAUAAAGUAUAACACUCUUCUAUGUACAAUAUAAUAACACACCAUUUGUUACUGGGUAUAAUGCUCCUGUCUAUAUAAUGUUUUAUGGGGUAAACCUUACAUAACAUACGGUGUGUUGCUGGGGGUAUAACGGUUCUAUCUAUAUUAUAUAACACACAGUGUGUUAACUGAGUAUAACACUCCAGUAUAUUUCAAUCUGAUGCAAGACGAAACAGGGCAGUUUUGCUCAAGUCACUAUUCAGUUCGCAUGGGCGUAAAAUGGCUUGUAGAAUUGGGAAUGUCUUUUUUCUGGAAUCAGUAUUUUCAUCUGGCCAUGGAACGAUUUGUUUGUUAAGGAAACCAAAAGUGAAGACACCCCAAGCUAAAGGACUUCUUUUGGACAAUAUUUGAAUCUGUACAGUGUCUUGUGCACAAACACGGCUUGUUUGGUUUUCUUCUAACCGAGUCUCACUCUUGUACUUUGUACAAAUUUUUUUUAUAACAAAAAGCACAAUAAAAUUCUUGAAAGCACGAAA